rnacentral:rRNA from 1 species
AUUGAACGCUGGCGGCAUGCCUAACACAUGCAAGUCGAACGAGUGGCGGACGGGUGAGUAAUGUCUGGGAAACUGCCUGAUGGAGGGGGAGAACUACUGGAAACGGUAGCUAAUACCGCAUACCAUCAGAGGUGCCCAGAUGGGAUGUGCGUGUUGGUGGGGGAACGGCUCACCAAGUCGACGAUCCCUAGCGGGUCUGAGAGGAUGACCGGCCACACUGGAACUGAGACACGGUCCAGCCUCCUACGGGAGGCAGCAGUGGGGAAGAUUGGACAAUGGGCGCAAGGCUGAUGCAGCCAUGCCGCGUGUAGGAAGAAGGCCUUCGGGUUGUAAAGUACUUUCAGCGGGGAGGCGUUACCCGCAGAAGAAGCACCGGCUAACUCCGUGCCAGCAGCCGCGGUAAUAC